UUCUACUUGAUCAGUGAGCUUGGUCUUGGCUGGAUUUCUUGCUGAUCUUCUGCUGGAGGGGCCUGUUGCAAUGAUUCUCAAUUGUCUUUGCCUGAGGGGGAAUUGCACCGCUCUUGCCAGGGGUUGGGCUAAAUCAUCCGCCCAGUUCGCUCUCGGAGCUUUUGUUCCCUGAGUGCUUUCCAUAGAGUUCUGGAGGACGGGAAUAAAGAUGGCGGCUGCCCAGUCUCUGGUCUGAAGUUGCUGAGAGCUCGGGGCCCCUCCUCAGUGCAGCCUCAGAGAAAAGCCCUCAGUCCCGCCCGUCUCCCUGGGCUCUGGCCCCGCUCCAAGCUCACCCAGCCUGUGACCAAAUGUUUCUGUCUCUGGCGCUUGGCCCCGUCUGGAGUCUCCAAACGCAGCAGAUUCCUGCAGCCCUGCUCCUUCCAGAGGAAGACCAUUCAUCACCUAAGCCUGGAUGAAGUCUAAGAUGAAGUCUAAGUCUUAAUCUUGAGCCACAUCAAAACGUGUCAUCAUCUCAUGGAAGUUGCCAGAAUUUCUACCUCUUUGUUGCAUGUUGGACCAACUCAGCCUAUUUCAAGGAUGCCACCUGUGAAACUUUGUUCUCCUUCUUUCCUCAGAUAAGUAAUUUAUGACAGAGUUGGUUAGAGUUCUUCUAUUCUGCCUGGUCCAGCGACAGUUAACUCUCCUCUAAAGAAAAGAAGAAAAGCUCCCAUCAAUGAUAUGGAGACUAUCAGCACCUAUUCGGUGGACAGCAACUUAGCUGAUACAAGAACAAGGCACGAGAUGGCAUAAGCAUCUAUGCGUGUAGAACUGCAAAGUUCUUUACAUGCUCCAUAAUGCAAGACAGAGCUUUGGCACUGAAUAGAAGAAAAUAUUUAGGAUUGGUCUUAGGAAAAGUUUCCUAACCAUUAGUAUGACACUACAUUUUCUUGAGAGGACCUGAUGUCCCUAUGUCCUAAAACACCCAUGUCUAUUGGGACAGUGGUUCUUAAAACAUGCUCCCUAAGCCAAACAGCAUCAGCAUGAAUGACCUGGGAACUUACCAGAAAUACAAGUGAUUGAGCCCCACCAUAUACGUGUUGAAUCAGAACUUCCAGGAUUGUGGUUCUGGACCCUGUGUUUUAACAAGCUAUCCAGCUGAUUUUUGUGUGGCUGAAGUUUAAGAGCCACAAUGGAAGGAAAUGCCAUGAUUCACAUCAGGCACAGGGAGAGUACCUGGUGCCAGGAAGUGAAGUCAAGUUAUCUAGGAAACCUAUGAACCAUCUGGGUCCGGUUUCUUCUCCUCCGUAGUUCCCUCUCUAAUUGUCAGGCUUCUUUCCACUUGCGAAAGCGAAUAGGUUUCAGAGUUGUUAUGCCUCUCCAUCCUGAAGGGAACAAACCUAGAACCUGUAAAAACUACAGGACUACUGAACACCCUUCCCACUCGUUACGUUUACUGGGAUCACAAUUAGCAGAUGAAUUGACGCAGAGCUCUUCAGUAGAGGAGCCCCUUCAAAGCAAAUAUCACAACUAACAGGGCUCUAUUUCAAAGUAAUGUGCUGGCCAAAAACCCAAUCAGUAAUCUCUGGGUACCCUUGUAGUCAAAUUGAAAUGUUAAGCAUCCUGCUGAGAUUAUACACUUUUCUACUCUAAAUGGGAUUAUAAAUUCCCCAUGUCCUUGACGAUGAAGACCAUCCAUCCUCCACUGGUGUAGAAAUGUCCUUUUGGGCAGACCUAUGUGCAGCAUUUACCAGCUUAGCUAUCAUGGUGCAAACAUUUCUGGAUGUGUAUGUGUGCAUCUAUGCAUGUGUAUGCACACGUAUGUGUAUGUGCGUGUAUGAAUAGCUAUU